rnacentral:rRNA from 1 species
GACGAACGCUGGCGGCGUGCUUAACACAUGCAAGUCGAACGGAAAGGCCCUGCUUUUGUGGGGUGCUCGAGUGGCGAACGGGUGAGUAACACGUGAGUAACCUGCCCUUGACUUUGGGAUAACUUCAGGAAACUGGGGCUAAUACCGGAUAGGAGCUCCUGCUGCAUGGUGGGGGUUGGAAAGUUUCGGCGGUUGGGGAUGGACUCGCGGCUUAUCAGCUUGUUGGUGGGGUAGUGGCUUACCAAGGCUUUGACGGGUAGCCGGCCUGAGAGGGUGACCGGCCACAUUGGGACUGAGAUACGGCCCAGACUCCUACGGGGGGCAGCAGUGGGGAAUAUUGCACAACGGGCGGAAGCCUGAUGCAGCAACGCCGCGUGCGGGAUGACGGCCUUCGGGUUGUAAACCGCUUUCGCCUGUGACGAAGCGUGAGUGACGGUAAUGGGUAAAGAAGCACCGGCUAACUACGUG